rnacentral:rRNA from 1 species
UACGGGGGGAGCAAGCGUUGUUCGGAUUUACUGGGCGUAAAGGGCGCGUAGGCGGCCAGCACAAGUCGGUUGUGAAAUCUCCGGGCUUAACUCGGAAAGGUCAACCGAUACUGUGCGGCUAGAGUGCGGAAGGGGCAACUGGAAUUCUCGGUGUAGCGGUGAAAUGCGUAGAUAUUGGGAGGAACACCAGUGGCGAAGGCGGCUCACUGGACCGGUUCUGACGCUGAUGCGCGAAAGCGUGGGGAGCAAACGGG